rnacentral:rRNA from 1 species
CCUACGGGAGGCAGCAGUGAGGAAUAUUGGUCAAUGGACGAGAGUCUGAACCAGCCAAGUAGCGUGAAGGAUGACUGCCCUAUGGGUUGUAAACUUCUUUUAUAAAGGAAUAAAACGAGGCACGUGUGCCUUUUUGCAUGUACUUUAUGAAUAAGGAUCGGCUAACUCCGUGCCAGCAGCCGCGGUAAUACGGAGGAUUCGAGCGUUAUCCGGAUUUAUUGGGUUUAAAGGGAGCGUAGAUGGGUUGUUAAGUCAGUUGUGAAAGUUUGCGGCUCAACCGUAAAAUUGCAAUUGAUACUGGCGGUCUUGAGGACAGUUGAGGUAGGCGGAAUUCGUGGUGUAGCGGUGAAAUGCUUAGAGAUCACGAAGAACCCCGAUUGCGAAGGCAGCUUACUAAACUGUGACUGACGUUGAUGCACGAAAGUGUGGGUAUCAAACAGGAUUAGAUACCCCAGUAGUC